rnacentral:rRNA from 1 species
UACGAAGGGGGCUAGCGUUGUUCGGAAUUACUGGGCGUAAAGCGCACGUAGGCGGACUACUAAGUCAGGGGUGAAAUCCCGGGGCUCAACUCCGGAACUGCCUUUGAUACUGGCAAUCUUGAGGCUGGAAGAGGUUAGUGGAAUUCCCAGUGUAGAGGUGAAAUUCGUAGAUAUUGGGAAGAACACCAGUGGCGAAGGCGGCUAACUGGUCCAGAUCUGACGCUGAGGUGCGAAAGCGUGGGGAGCAAACAGG